rnacentral:rRNA from 1 species
GGACCCGCACAAGUAGUGGAGCAUGUGGUUUAAUUCGAAGAUACGCGCAGAACCUUACCAACACUUGACAUGUUCGUCGCGACUUUAAGAGAUUAAAGUUUUCGGUUCGGCCGGACGAAACACAGGUGCUGCAUGGCUGUCGUCAGCUCGUGUCGUGAGAUGUUGGGUUAAGUCCCGCAACGAGCGCAACCCUUACUUUUAGUUGCCAUCAUUUAGUUGGGCACUCUGAAAGAACUGCCAGUGAUAAGCUGGAGGAAGGUGGGGAUGACGUCAAGUCCUCAUGGCCCUUACGUGUUGGGCUACACACGUGCUACAAUGGUAUUUACAAUAGGAAGCAAGACGGCGACGUUAAGCAAAUCCUCAAAAAAUACCUCAGUUCGGAUUGCACUCUGCAACUCGAGUGCAUGAAGCUGGAAUUACUAGUAAUCGU